UUCAUAAAAAAUCCUUAAAUGAGGAAUGAUCAGCUUAUUAGCUAAUCCACUGUUUAGGCUUAAUAAGCCGUUGAUAAGAACCAUGAUUUAUAAACGUUUAUUAGGGGUUUCUUAACUAAUAAGCAGAUUAGACCCGUUAUGUUGGCAUCUUGGCACAUCAUAGACAAAAAUAUGGCUGAACAUUAAUUAAAAAAAAAAGUUUGACAGCAGCACUAGCGGUAAAUCAUAAAAUCCUGAACAAUACGAUGCACAAUUUUGACCAGUUUUCUGGGUUAUUAUAUAUUAAAAUAGCCUCUGCAUCACAAAAACAAAUAAAUAAUAUUGCACGGCCGGAAGUUUUACGAAACUCGUUUCAAUAUAUUGUGGAAUGAGGGAAAGAGGGCAGUUGCACAUCUCAAGUCAAGAAUUCUGCCUGCGCGCCAUCGCCACCGUAAUACCACGGAUUCCAACACAUUUUGUUCUGGUGGCGAAACACAAACGAUAUUGACACUAUUCAUAUCAAAUGAUCGGUGAAGAUAAAUCAGGUGAGCAAGAUUUGGUUAUUCAUUUCUUAACGUAAAAUGUUGUAGUAUUUUUAUGAACAUACCUCGACACCCAAAAAAUUAUGGCCUCAUCAUUUUUAAUUUGACGUACUAUCGGUGUUUUUUAGAAGAGCAGAGCUAACUAAGCUAGUUAGGAGCUGUUUAUAAUUAGAAUUAGUGAAUAACAUACUUAACCAACCACACGAUGGAACCAAUUUAUCAGUGAAGUGGUGAUUUAUCUUAAAAACCUUUUUUGUUCGCCUAGGGCGCAGAGUUAAAGAUAAGCGCUUAUAUAUGCAACUUGACAAUGACAAUGUUUGCAGUGAAACAUCUCAGCCAAUAGCCGCAUUAAAAGGCAAACUGCACAAUUCAUAAUGAGGCAGAAAUGUUCAUUAUUCACAGGAGUGUCGCUGUUGGUUGUGAGUAUUCCAUCAUCAGCUAUUUGUCCGGAGCUGGCUACACAAUCCGGAGGCCACACUCUUCUGGCAUCUAACCGGCCUGCACACCGCCAUCAAAUGAAGUUGGUUGUACUGAAAUAAAGAAAAAAUAUUAACUAGUUUAAUGAUUGUCAAAUGUAAUAAAAUUGUUUUAUUUAAGUGGGUUGUUUGAUUUCCCUAAAUUAACACAUGAAAUAUGUUGAUAUGUUAUAAUAAAAAUCUCAGUUAAAAACUCA